GACGUGAUCCAAGGAACUUAAAAUAUAUAUCUAAAACUAUACAUAAAGUGUACUUAACUUGGUUUGUGAGUUGGUGGGAAGUGUAGUAUUGCGCCGAGCACAUUAUACAUGCUGUGGGAGGACCACAGGACGAAUACAAGAGACAACACGUGAAAUCUGGAUUCUGACGAAAUAGUGUGACGCUUCCAGGAAAUCACACACACACAUAAAUAAAUUGUGUGUAUUCUUAUAGUUUCACUAGUAGAAAAAUCUUAUUCUUUGUAGUGUGACCGAAGUUUUCAAAGAUCACCCGCAAUGCAUGUAGCAUGGUCUUACUGUUAAGCGGCUGAAAAGAAAUCAAUUGGAGAAAUCUAAAAAAGAAGAGUCUGCUGGUGCACAAAGAAAUUAAAAUAAAAAUAAAUGAAAUGUU